rnacentral:lncRNA from 1 species
AUGGAGAGCGAAACAGGGGAACGCGAAGUACGUUACGAUCCAUUUCUUCCACGGGCACCCGACUCCUUUGCGUCGCAGAGCAGCGAGCUCCGUUUUACGGCUGCCGAGAUUGUGGUGGCUAGAGAUUCGACAUGCUCCUACACGAUAGUAAAUGACCAAAGAAAAGCAGCAACGAAAGUGCAACAAGCGGCCAGAGGACCCGCUUCCAACAGAAAACAGAAGAAAAAUCCCAAACCAUCUGAAAUGCGCCAGGUUGCUGGACGCACCUGCAAGGCUGCAGUCGAAACGAAUUUUCAGACGCAUAUGGCCCCGAUAGGUCGCAACAGGCAGAUACGUAUGAAAUGAAGGCAUCCAA